CCCGGGCCUUGUACACACCGCCCGUCACACCAUGGGAGUUAGUUGCUCCAGAAGUGGCUUGCCUAACCGAAAGGAGGGCGGCCCCCAAGGAGUGGCUGGUAACUGGGGUG
rnacentral:rRNA from 1 species